GCCGUGGCUCACUUGCAGAGCAUCUGCUUUGCAUGCAGAAGGUCCCAGGUUCAAUCCCCGGCAUCUUCA